rnacentral:tmRNA from 1 species
GGGGGUGACCGGUUUUGACGGUCUGCCCUUUGAGAAACGUGCGACGCGAUGGAAUCUUGCUGACCAUCUGAAUCUCGCAAGCACCCAAUACCUGCCGACAAAACUGUUGCAGGCGCAAAGGUAUCUCCGUACUUUACGGCAAAGAACUUUGCGUUCGCUUACGUGUAAGCUUGAGCCUCGGCUCGUUUAGCGUAACGACGUUCACUCUUCCCGGGUUCUCAUAGCCGGUCGAAUGGGCGAAAUCUUCUAUGGGAUCGAUAGCCGUGCGCCCACACGUGCUGUUCAGACUUCGGGCGUAGACAGAAAAGGUUUCGCUGACAUUUCUACUUUUCUGUUGAAACACUAAUAGCAGCUACGUGUCGUAGACUCGUUCUCAAAGCCAGAUUCGGACGGGGGAUCAUACCCCCCACCUCCACCG